rnacentral:rRNA from 1 species
GACGAACGCUGGCGGCGUGCUUAACACGUGCAAGUCGAACGGAAAGGCCCUGCUUUUGUGGGGUGCUCGAGUGGCGAACGGGUGAGUAACACGUGAGUAACCUGCCCUUGACUUUGGGAUAACUUCAGGAAACUGGGGCUAAUACCGGAUAGGAGCUCCUGCUGCAUGGUGGGGGUUGGAAAGUUUCGGCGGUUGGGGAUGGACUCGCGGCUUAUCAGCUUGUUGGUGGGGUAGUGGCUUACCAAGGCUUUGACGGGUAGCCGGCCUGAGAGGGUGACCGGCCACAUUGGGACUGAGAUACGGCCCAGACUCCUACGGGAGGCAGCAGUGGGGAAUAUUGCACAAUGGGCGGAAGCCUGAUGCAGCAACGCCGCGUGCGGGAUGACGGCCUUCGGGUUGUAACCCGCUUUCGCCUGUGACGAAGCGUGAGUGACGGUAAUGGGUAAAGAAGCACCGGCUAACUACGUG